ensembl:lncRNA
UACAGUGUGCCCUGCUAAUUAGAACCUGCAGCUGAAACGCAAACGCGUGUUAGAACUCCCCCUCCCGCCUCGGUGGGCUCCAUGGACGCAGUGAGCGAGGGGAGCACCCCAGACCACCACCCUCCGCCUGCAGUGUUGCUCCCAGGGGCUGGCCCACACGGGUGCUGCCUGCUGUCUUCGCCAAGAUGGACAGCUAAUGGCCCCAAACUGAAAGGAGAUUUUGCCAUUGGAAAAGGCACCUAUUUGCAGAGUGCUGGAUGUGAAAGCAGCUGAUGGUGUCCUGCGUGUCUGAUGGCAAAGACAGCCCUUUCCAGUUUUAGGGACCGGCCUUCCCUGUGAAGAGAGGAAGAUGCGUCGUCCUCCUUGUCCCUUUGUCUGCCCAGCCAGGUGAGAGGAAGGCUCCAGGCCAGGGCACGAAGAUGCCAGAGCCUUCUAACAGGAGCCUUGUGGCCUGGAGUUGGCGCGGCCUCCUCUGGAGCUGGUGAUGGGCUUGUAAAAGGGGCUGGACUUGGCCAAGGCAAGUUCAGAGACUCGUUCAGGAAAGACCCUGAGACCCAAGCCAGGUAGAAAGUCAAGCAGAAUUCUUAUCUCCCUCUUCAUUUAGUUAAUUCUUGCUCCCCCUUUAAGUUCGGGCCCCAACUCCCUCUGGAAGACUUCCAAGGGACAAGUUAGAUGCUGAGCCUUGGACUUCUGGAAUAUCCAGUGUGCCUCUCAGAACCUUGGUAAGAGCAGGGAUCGUGCAUCCGGAGUGUUGGGGCUGGAGUCCGCUGCAGAUGCACUGUGCACGUUUAUUGAAUAAAGUUGACAUUCUUCUAACCACCGUCGAGGACCCUGGGCUGUUGGAGGAAGCUUCUCUCUGGCCCGCAGGGUCCCACUGUCUGCAGACGCCACACCAGCGCUCAUUCUCCCCACCCUCUCUGCUCCCACCAGUCAGUGCGUGCUUCCCAGGAGUCACUUGUGUUUGUUCCUGACCCUGUUUAUGGCAGUUUAUGCUUUCCAUUAUAAUACUGUGAUUUCAGGAGUGAGUGCUCAGUAGAUGCAACUCACCAUGACCAUAUUUCCAUCCAGAAAAAAGGCUGGACGCAAACACUGAGGUGGUAUUACAGGCUCCUUUUCUCCCUGAUUUCUCUGAACUCACUUCCUCUGUGCCUCCGGUUGUGAUCGAGGUCUUCACUACGGCUCCCAUCCCUGCUGCUGUUGGGAGUACUGCACAUCUGCCCACUGAGCCCGAAAGGGGCUUCGCCCAGAACGUGAGCUCUUUGAAGGUGUGACGCUGCUCUCCCGUGAGGCAAAGAGAAGCCGAGUUCUCUAAAUAAAUGUUGUUUUCACAUCAGACAAUGGUUUCGGGAUAAACUUGAGACACCAAGAGGCUGGAGCUGUGAGAAGGGGCAGAGGCUGCACAGCUCUGGAGACUGGACCCUUCCUCUCCUCCACGGGGACUGGGUCUCCGCAGCUCAAUCUGGUGGGCAGGCCAGCUUUGUGGUUGGCUUCCCUGGAGGAGAUACCAGGAGACAUUGCACACAGCUCCUCAUCAUGACAACAGUGCUGUCCCCUCCGCACCCUGGGUACCCUGCCCUUAAACAGGCACGGAAAGAUGCAGCAGGUGGCCCAAGGGCACCUCUUUGUCUGUAGGUUGGUGCAUGUUUUUCUGCCAUGGUUCGAGUUCAG